rnacentral:rRNA from 1 species
CACGUAGGGGGCAAGCGUUGUCCGGAGUUACUGGGCGUAAAGGGCGUGUAGGUGGUUGCGUAAGUCUGGCGUGAAAUUUUUCGGCUUAACCGGGAAAGGUCGUCGGAUACUGCGUAGCUAGAGGACGGUAGAGGCGUGUGGAAUUCCGGGUGUAGUGGUGAAAUGCGUAGAGAUCCGGAGGAACACCAGUGGCGAAGGCGACACGCUGGGCCGUACCUGACACUGAUGCGCGACAGCAUGGGGAGCAAACAGG